rnacentral:snRNA from 1 species
GUGCUUGCUUUAGCAGUACAUACACUAAAAUUGCAGCGAUACAGAGAAGAUUAACAUGGCCCCUGUGCAAGGAUGACACGCAAAUUCGGAAGCGUUCCAUGUUUUA